rnacentral:lncRNA from 1 species
UUUUUAAAAAUGAUUUGCAUAGGGAAGACGUCCCUUGUUUAGAGCUGCUCGAUCAAGUAUUCUUACAUUGCUUGCAGUAAUGGUUCUUUAUCCAAAAUAUUGCUUAAGAAUAUUGUAGUAGUAGUUGGAACAUUUGAAAUAGUUACAUUUGGAUAUUUAUCCUAUUGGUAAAAUUUGAUUUUAGAAUUAAAACUUUCUUUGCUUCAAAAUAAGAUGUGCAUCUAUGGUUAUUAUCGUGGUAAAAAUUUUCAGCAAAUGGGUAUUGAUUAAGUUGAUUAGAGAAUGUGGUGUAUUGCUUUAACAUCUAUAGGAACUCAUUCUUUUCCUAACUUACAAUUCAAAUA